UUCUUUAAUCUCAUCCCUAAUUCAAUUGGAAAUUGGAAUGAGAAAGAAAAGCUGAAAAGGAAAGAAAAAUAUCCCCACUGGCCUGGGUUAACUUGCGUAACUUCUCUCCAUCGCCGAUCACCACCGCGAUAGCCAUUGCCAUCACCGACAACUGCCGUCCAUCAUCCUAUUCCUUGGACCUCGUUUCCAUCCCAUCCACCUUAGAUACGCAUCGCUCUUAUCGUUUUUCAUCUCAGAUCUACGUCACAAGGCCUUCCAGCCAUCGUUGCUGCUCUUGUCACAACACCACACCUCCGCCGCUUGCACCGCUGCCGUUCUUCCACGUAGACAUACAAGAUCGUCGUCGCCGGUAGGUCUUCUCCGUUUAUUUUUUCGAUUUUGGUUUGAAUGUUUAGAAGCUUGUGAUUCUCUGUGUUAUUAUUUUGCUCUAUUUGCUUCCUAAUGAAUCUAGCAGAUCAAGCUAAAAUCGAAGUGUUUUUUAAGUGUUUCAGAUCCUAAUUUUUUGUUUGCUCUUUCUUCUCCGUUUUUGCUUGCUUAAUCCGCCGUUCUUGUUGAAACGUUUGGGAGCUGAUUUGGCUAUUGACUACACAAAGGAGAACUUUGAAGACUUGCCAGAAAAAUUUGAUGUUGUUUAUGAUGCCAUUGUGAACUCUAUGAGCUUGAUGGAAGAAAGUCAGGACCAAUAUCUCAUCUCAUGGCCCAUCCUCACCAAGUACAUUGUUAAAAGUAAGAAUCUAUGCAUGUGAAAUUGUACAGGCAAUAACUGUAUUGUUCCUUAAAGACAUGCAUUCUGAAAAAAGGACCUGAUUCAGUUUGCGAGUUCGUAUAAUGGAAAAGGAUUCCAUAAUAUUGCGGUCAAAUAAGAUUGAGUUAAACGCUGCAUGGAAAACAUUUUGAUGUCGUUUCUAAGGCAGGGAAGUUGCUUUAAAUUUGAGUUUCGAAAUCUUUCAAGGGCUUUUUGAUUCAGAGGCAUAAUACCAUAAACAUCAGCCUCCAUAACCAAGAAUGAGUUACGUGAAUUUUUGGACCAAAUUACAGAUCAGAGUUUUUAUUCAAGACUUCAAACCUUCUUUGACAUCUUGUCGAAGGUUUUCCAAGAAAUGUAUGGCAAAGGGAAGUGAGUUUGGUGUGAAAACUGCAAGAAAGGUGCAUUCAUGAGCUUUUGCACACUUGAAGCUUUAACGCAUCCAAAAAUGAAAACAAGGGAUCAAUUUUGGGUCAUGCAACGGAAAGAAGCGUAGAAAAUUAGAUUCAAGAAGAGUAACAAAUUAUCAAUGCGUAAAAUGCUCGAAAAUAGGUAAAACUCAUCACUUUCUUUUUGCCAAUGAUUGAUAAAUGAAUAUUACUUUUAGUUGUAGGUGCUAAACGAGGAUAGAAAUUGUAAGUCAAUUGAGUUCUCUGUCAUGAAACUCUUUCCAUUGAAGUGGGAAAAGAAGCCGCUUUUUCUAAAAUUUGUGUUGUAGUUUGCUUUUGUUUGCAAUUUAAUGUUAAUCAUUUUCAAGUAUCAUAGUUUUCCAAGGAGCUAAUUAACCAUUUCAGUGCAUAUGAAAAUUGAAAACCAAAUUAAGCAUACAGCUACAGUGGAUCAAGAUGCAUAUGUGUUGUGAAGGUUUGACAUGUCUUAGAAUUUGAAAUCUCACAAGCAUUCCAAGGAAAAACCUGAUAAAGUAAUUAAGCCAUGAAACUUCCUUUUAGGCAUAAAUGGAAUAAAUUCUUUCACUUUUUUUUUUCAAUUUUUCUGUAUAGUAGAUCUUCACAUCAUCACUCUGCCUCUCUUUUCAUUUAUGUUUUUUGCACACCAUCAAGUAUAGAAGAAAUGGCCACCAUGUUCUUUUGUAUUGUUUAUCUAACAUCAGUGAGUUGAUUUUCUUGGGCCUUUAGUCAUUUCUAGCUCUGGCUAUAAUUUUUGUUUGGUAUUUACUUAUCUGUUUAUUUUGGAGGAAAUGUUUAGAUACAAAGUUGGUUUUAAACUAGAAUUCAAGACUUGCUAGAAGUGCCUAAAGACCUUGAAUGUAAAGGUCUAGGUACACUUAUUUUUAAGUUACCUUUGGCAAUGCUUCUUAGGAUCUGUCAUUGGAAUUUGUUUAUAGUCUAACUUGAUGUAACAUAGUUAUAGGCUUGUAGCAUUUUUUAUUAUCUAGAUUUGUAAUAUAAUCUAUUACUUUUCAAGAAAAAUUUGUGUAUUAAUAUUUUGAAUUUAAUAAAAUAUCUCAUUUUGUAGUAAUUAA